rnacentral:tRNA from 2 species
CCCGCCGUAGCUCAGCGGCAGAGCGCCCGGCUGUAGUGGGACGCGGGCGGCGUAACCCGGUGUCUCCCCGCAGACACCGGGUGGUCCGGGGUUCGAAUCCCCGCGGCGGGA